UGAAAUGAUGAUAAAUUGUUUUCCUUGUUGAUUUGACUGCCAAUAUGAUGACAAAAAUGUAUUAGCUCUAUUUGAUAUCC